UACGAAGGGAGCUAGCGUUGCUCGGAAUGACUGGGCGUAAAGGGCGCGUAGGCGGCUUGUACAGUCAGAUGUGAAAUUCCUGGGCUCAACCUGGGGGCUGCAUUUGAUACGUAUGGGCUUGAGUGGGGAAGAGGGUCGUGGAAUUCCCAGUGUAGAGGUGAAAUUCGUAGAUAUUGGGAAGAACACCGGUGGCGAAGGCGGCGAUCUGGACAGAUAUUGACGCUGAUGUGCGAAAGCGUGGGGAGCAAACAGG
rnacentral:rRNA from 1 species